UCAGUUUUUCAUGGUGACCAC
rnacentral:siRNA from 1 species